AGUUCCAUAGUGCAAUGGUUAGCACUCUGGACUCUGAAUCCAGUCAUACAAGUUCAAGUCUUGGUGGAACCU
rnacentral:tRNA from 1 species